rnacentral:tRNA from 1 species
GUGCUAGUAGCUCAGUUGGAUAGAGCAAUGGUCUUCUAAACCAUUUGUCCCGGGUUCGAGCCCCGGCUGGCACA